GAUGAAGAACGUAGCGAAAUGCGAUACUUGGUGUGAAUUGCAAAAUCCCGUGAACCAUCGAGUCUUUGAACGCACAUUGCGCCCCCUGGUAUUCCGGGGGGCAUGCCUGUCCGAGCGUCAUUGCUGCCCUCAAGCACGGCUUGUGUGUUGGGCCUCCGUCCUCCUCCCGGGGGACGGGCCCGAAAGGCAGCGGCGGCACCGCGUCCGGUCCUCGAGCGUAUGGGGCUUCGUCACCCGCUCUUGUAGGCCCGGCCGGCGCUUGCCGACACAUCAAUCUUUUUUCCAGGUUGACCUCGGAUCAGGUAGGGAUACCCGCUGAACUUAAGCAUAUCAAUAAGCGGAGGA
rnacentral:misc_RNA from 1 species